rnacentral:lncRNA from 1 species
GGCUCUGGCGCCUGUGCUGUGACCCCUGCCCCUGCUGAUGAUGAAACCUGUCCUCAGCUGAGAUGCAGCGAUGCCUGGUAGGGCUGGGGGCUGCUCCUGUGUCUCCCCAGGCUGUGACAAGAGGAGCCUCCCACGUGGUGUGGAUGAGGAGGCAGAUGGCAGGGCCUGUGCAUUUCUGUGCUUGAGUGGGCCUUGAAAGUGGUUCAGCAACCAGGAAGAAGUGUUCAUUCCUCGACAACAACAUCCCCGGGCUCUGGUGACUUGGCUGACACUGGAUGGCCCUGGAAUGAAAAAGGCAAAGAGGCAAAAUGUGCAAGGGCC